rnacentral:rRNA from 1 species
UGGCUGUCUUCACCUCUUGUGGGGAGAUGUUGGGUUAAAUCCCCCACCAAGCGCACCCCUUGUCCUUAUUUGCCACCACAUAAUGGUGGGAACUCUCAGGAGACUGCCGGUGACAAACCGGAGAAAGGGGGGGAUAACAUCAAGUCAUCAUGGCCCUUACGGCCAGGGCUACACACGUACUACAAUGGUCGGUACAGAGGGUUGCUAUACCGCGAGGGGGAGCCAAUCCCAAAAAACCCAUCCCAUUCCGGAUUGGAGUCUGCAACUCCCCUCCAUGAAAACGGAAUCUCUAUUAAUCGCGGAUCACCAUGCCGCGGUGAAUACCUUCCCGGGUCUUGUACACACCG